UGCGUAGACGGUUAUGUAAGUCGGGUGUGAAAGCCCUGGGCUCAACCUGGGAAUUGCAUUCGAAACUGCAUAGCUAGGGUGCGGAAGAGGGAAGCGGAACUUCCGGUGUAGCGGUGAAAUGCGUAGAUAUCGGAAAGAACACCAGUGGCGAAAGCGGCUUCCUGGUCCAGCACCGACGUUCAGGCACGAAAGCGUGGGGAGCAAACAGGAUUAGAUACCCUGGUAGUCCACGCCAUAAACGAUGAGAACUAGACGUUGAGAGGGUAAGCCUCACAGUGUCGUAGCUAACGCGCUAAGUUCUCCGCCUGGGGAGUACGGCCGCAAGGUUGAA
rnacentral:rRNA from 1 species